rnacentral:lncRNA from 1 species
AUGGCGCCAGGGGUUCCAGCUGAUCUUCAGGGAGCUGCUCUCCAGCGAGCUGGCCGAGGCGGUGACGGUGAGGGUGACGGUGCCGGCGGGGGGCUGGCGGGAGGCGGGCAGCUCCGUCAGCGAGCUGCACCGCACCAUGCGCCCCAGGCCGGGGGUGGUGGCGGGGGUCAGGGGGGAGCCGUGGAGCGAGGCGCCGGAGCCGCGGCGGGGCCGGCCGAAGAGGCCGUCGUGCAGGAGGUGGCGGCGGCAGAGCGCCUGGUCGAUGCUGCGGCGCAGGUCGAUGGGGGACGGCGGGCGGAAGACCAGCUCCCCCAGCGAGGGGGACGAGCCCUGCUGGAAGGCGGCGCAGGAGCGGGCGGCCAAGACGUUGGGGCACUUGGGGCUGAGCCCGCCGGCGGCCGCCCAGGCCUCGUUGCUGUCCUUGAGGGCCCGCAGGGGCAGCUGCUCCGCCGGGUUGCGGAUGAGGCUCUUGGAGAUGUCGCCGCUGGGUGCCCGCUCGGGGCCGGUGCCCCCGGUGCCGCCGCCGGCCCAGUCGUAGCAGUUGUUGGGGUACUCGGGCGCCUCGGCUUUGCGGCUGGCGCAGAAGUACCGCAGCGCCUUGGCCCAGCAGGAAUGGCCGGCGGGGCUGCGCCGGUGGCACCGGCAGCACAGCGGCUCGGCGGCGGCCACCAGCAACGCCAGGGCCGUGCCCAGCUCCCCGACCCGCAGCCAGAGCUGCGCCACCCAACCGGGCCGGGAGAACCUCCCGGGGACCCCCAGCACCCCCCGCAGCCACAGGCUGCCGUAGAGCUGCAGCCCGCACACCGGCAGCCCCGCCGCCGCCGCCGCCAACAGCGCCCAGGCCCCCCGCCGCACCCCCGCGUCCCCGCCGCCCCCCGGCCCUUCCCGGGGUGCCCGCAGCACCCGCCAGCACCCCCAGAGUCCCCCCAGCAGCAGCAACAGGGCCCCGGCCCCGCAGCCCAGCGCCUGCAGCCCCAGCCCGGCGGAGGGUCCCAGCCGGGUUGGCAGCAGGUCGGCGGCCCCCAGGACCCCGCUCUGCAGGGCGAGGGUGGCCAGCAGGGCCGGCAGCCCCCGCAGCCGGGCUGGCAGCAGCCGGAGCUGUGCCAGGCGCUGGAGCCGCUGGAGCAAGAGGGCGAAGGCGGCGAGCAGCAAGGGGAAAGGGGCUGUGCUGAGCAGCAGCAGUGCCCGGGGGGGCAGGCGGCCCCGUGCCCCAUAGGGGUCCAGCAGAAGGAAGGUGGCCCGCAGCAGGCAGGCUGCCAGCAGCAGCCCGUGGGCCCCUAA